rnacentral:rRNA from 1 species
UACGGGGGGGGCAAGCGUUGUUCGGAAUUACUGGGCGUAAAGGGCGCGUAGGCGGUUUGCUAAGUUGGAUGUGAAAACUCUGGGCUUAACCCAGAGCCUGCAUCCAAAACUGGCAAACUUGAGUACUGGAGGGGAAAGCGGAAUUCCUGGUGUAGCGGUGAAAUGCGCAGAUAUCAGGAAGAACACCAAUGGCGAAAGCAGCUCUCUGGGACGGUACUGACGCUGAGACGCGAAAGCGUGGGGAGCGAACAGG